rnacentral:rRNA from 1 species
GAUGAACGCUAGCUACAGGCUUAACACAUGCAAGUCGAGGGGCAGCGCAGUGUAGCAAUACAUGGGCGGCGACCGGCGCACGGGUGCGUAACGCGUAUCCAACCUUCCCGUUACUCAGGGAUAGCCUUCCGAAAGGGAGAUUAAUACCUGAUGGUGUUCAAAUUCCGCAUGUUAUUUGAGCUAAAGAUUUAUCGGUAACGGAUGGGGAUGCGUGACAUUAGAUAGUAGGCGGGGUAACGGCCCACCUAGUCUACGAUGUCUAGGGGUUCUGAGAGGAAGGUCCCCCCACACUGGAACUGAGACACGGUCCAGACUCCUACGGGAGGCAGCAGUGAGGAAUAUUGGUCAAUGGUCGAGAGACUGAACCAGCCAAGUCGCGUGAGGGAAGACUGCCCUAUGGGUUGUAAACCUCUUUAGUCGGGGAGCAAAAAAGCGGACGUGUCCGCCAUUGAGCGUACCCGAAGAAUAAGCAUCGGCUAACUCCGUG